rnacentral:misc_RNA from 1 species
GAAAUGCGAUAAGUAAUGUGAAUUGCAGAAUUCAGUGAAUCAUCGAAUCUUUGAACGCACAUUGCGCCCGCCAGUAUUCUGGCGGGCAUGCCUGUUCGAGCGUCAUUUCAACCAUCAAGCCCCCGGCUUGUGUUGGGGACCUGCGGCUGCCCGCAGGCCCUGAAAAACAGUGGCGGGCUCGCUGUCACACCGAGCGUAGUAGCAUACAUUCUCGCUCAGGGCGUGCUGCGGGUUCCGGCCGUUAAACGACCUUCAUAACCCAAGGUUGACCUCGGAGCAGGUAGGAAGACCCGCUGAACUUAAGC